rnacentral:sRNA from 1 species
CUUGAAACAAAACUUACAAAACAAUAAAUUAUUCACUUAAAAAAAAAGUGAGAAGGAGCAAUCAACAAUCAACAUGGGUAUGUUAAAUUACUCGGACUAAAUAAUCAAUGGUUGAAAUGGUACGUUUACUUGAACAAUUAUAUAAUUAAUGCGGUUUAUAAAACCUGGUAA